GCACUGCUGAGGAGUCCCACAAUAGGACGAACCGGCUGUCCAGUGC
rfam:Schistosoma curassoni strain Dakar, Senegal genome assembly, scaffold: SCTD_scaffold0002660